rnacentral:lncRNA from 1 species
AAGCCUGCCCUUUCAGGCUCUUUGGAAAUGUCCCUGCCCCAAAGAUGGUGUUCAUUUUAAUCAUAGGCCCUGCUCUGAAAGGUCUGAAACAUGGACUCUUCCUUGGGUUUCCUCAACAAAAGAAGCCCAGUUGUUUUGUUUUGUUUUGUUUUUCCAGUAUGCUGGUUUCUGGCUUUAGUUUAUCUCACUCUCUAAUCCAAUUUUCACACCAAAUACCUGAUCAACAGUAUUGGCAUUUCAUCGAUACAAAAAAAUCUGUUAGCGCUACUCUUGUGAGUCUUGUUGAUGUCAUUUCGGUCUUUCAGAGUGUUAGUGAGGACUACAUUAAAGAGUUCACACUGGGGCAGAGUCUCAAGAACAGGGCUUCAUACCCAAGUGGAUAAAAAUUGCUACCACUGAGGAGACUUCUGGAAGAGUCUAUGGGAUGUUUGCACCUUUUCCAUUUAGAGACAUAGUAAGAAAUCCCAGUCUUACCUAGAGCAGCCGUGAGUUUUCAGGUUUAUCUCUCAGUCUUCAAUGAUAAUUAUUAUAUCAGCCUCCCACCCCCACCCCCAGCAAGUAUCUGCUCCCAUUCCCCUUCCCAAAGUCACCCACUAACAAAGAUGACAUUCUUAGGAUUAUCUGAGGGAGAGAGAAGAGAGUCUCUGCCCCCAAGGAAUUUAUAUUUUAAUCAGAGAGAUAUAGAACAUUGGACAGCUUGACUUACUGACCAGAUAGCAGCCACUAUGUGUUCAGGGUUUGGUUUGUUUGUUUGUUUGUUUGUUUGUUUGUUUGUUUGAGCCAGGGUCUUGCUUUUUAACCCAGGCUGACCUUAAACUUGAGAGCCUCUUGCCUUGGCUUCCUGGACACUGGAUUACAAGUGUUUACUGCACACCUGGCCCGAGUGGUUUCUAGUGCAUUCGUUUUUGUGUCUUCAUUCCCCUGCGACUCGGCUCUUUGGGGUUGACGCCCCACGCCUUACGUGCUUGCUCGUGUUCGGUUCGCGUCUGUUUGCUAUGUUCAUGUGCAUUCAGAUGGUCGAGGGCUGGCAAACUUCUUGGACUGCCGAGAGAAAGGACUGAUGGUUGGUUUGUCAGAAUACAUGUUCAUGAAAGGAAACCGUCUUAAUGUUACUUCGCUAUGUAGUGUACAGGAACAAAAAUAAAUAAAGUUGUUUUUGUAACGUAA